ACGAAACUUUGUUUAGGGAGGCACAGGCCUGUGAUCUUAAAAUUUCCCACGAAGAAAACUUUGUUUUUUAAAAUAUAAAUAUAAUGUGAAUUGAACCAUCUUAGUAACAUUAGAACACGAAUCAAACGAGAUACCGUGAGUAAUGGCGAAUGAAAAUGGUGCAGACUUUAACAUAAAGAAAAGUUUUGAAUUUUAAAAACUCAAAAAGGUAUAAGUCCUGUAAAAGCUAAAUAAUUAUGUUUUUCAAUGAAGUAGUGCGUUUUUGUAUGAAUAUAGAAGAACCACCUUCUAAGUCGAAAUAACUUUUUUGACCGAUAGUGAACGAGUACCGUGAGGGAAAGAUAAAAACUUCCGUUAGGAUAAAACUAACCAGUUUAGAAGUCGAAUGUCUAAAAUAAUUUUGAAGUUUUUAACUUUUUAAAAAUAACAAAUUGCCUUUUGCAUAAUGAGUCAGUAAGUUAAUAUAGUAUAGCAAGCCUAAGUAAAAUUACGUAAGCGUUUUUCAGUUAUACUUAUUAUACCUGAAGCCAAGUGAUCUAACCAUAAACAGGUUGAAAAUACAGUAACAUGUUUUUGAAGACCGAACUCGUAUAUGUUGCAAAAUGUUGGGAUGAUUUGUGGUUAGGGGUGAAAGGCCAAUCAAACUUGGCAAUAGCCGGUUUUUCACGAAACGUAUUUAAGUACUACGUUAAUAAAAUAAGUUGUAGGUAUAGUAACAAAUUAAAUGAGGGGGUAAAAAGCUACCAAGUUUAACUUAACUUCGAAUUAUAACUUAAUUAUACUAACAGACAGUCUUUGAGCGAUAAGGUUCAUGGACAAAAGGGAAACAACCCAGAUCAUAUGUUAAGGUCUCAAAAUUUCAACUUAGUGGAGAAGAUUUUUUUACAAAACAAAUAACUUAGGAUAGGCUUAGAAGCAGCCUUUCAUUGGAGAUAGCGUUUUAGCUCAUUAUUAAUUUGUGUAAAUCUAAAAUAAUAGAGGCUCAAAGUUGUAUACCGAAACAAUGAAUCAUUAACUUGAUGGUAGUGAAACUUUCUGCAAAACAUUAUUUUUCUAAUGUAAUUUAAAUGAAAUUUUUUCAGAAGUGCUAAUGCUGAUAUGAGUAACGCAAACUACGUAAUAAAUCGUAGUCGCCUAAUGCCCAAGGGUUUCAAUAUAGUUUUAAGCAUAUUGAGUUAGUCGAUCCUUAAGAGGAGAGUAAAUACUGCACUCGAUAGGAAAUUUACCAGCUAUAUAUGUUUAUCUAUAGCAUGUAAAAAUUGAUUAAAAAGUAAAAAUUUUAGUAGGUUAAAUUUUUGUAAACUGCAUCAAUUUCGAGAAAAAUUUAUAGCUUUUUAUAAGAUCGUACUUAAUCCGACACUGGUGGGCUAGUUGAAAAUACUAAGGCGAAUAGGUAAAUUAAAUUGAAGGAACUUGGCAAAUUCGCUCUGUAAGUUCGCAAUAAAGAGUGUCCAAAUUUUAUUGGAUGUCACAAAAUUAAAAGCAACGACUGGUUACCAAAACCACAAAACUCUGCCAAUUAGCUUAUAAGACGUAUAGAGUUUGACGCCUGCCCGGUGCUUAAAGUUACUAUUUAUAGGUUUACGCCUAUAUUUUAAUCCUAAGUAAACGGCGGUUCUAACUAUAAGAAUCCUUAGGUAGCGAAAUUCCUUGACGGGUAAAUUCCGUCCUGCAUGAAUGGUGUCACGAUUGCUUUACUGUCUCCAAUUUAAACCUAGUGAAAUUGCAUAACCUAUGAAAAUGUAGGUAACCCGCAGUAAGACGGAAAGACCCUAGAUCCUUUACUUUAAUCUUAUAUUGAAAAGUUUUAUUGUCUUUUAUAUAGAAUAGGUGGGAGUAUAUUUACUACGCAAAUGAAAUACCACUUAAAACUAUAAAUUUUUCUAAUUUGUUUAGGAACAAAAACAGUAUGAGACGGGAAGUUUACUUGGGACGAGUACCUCCUAAAAUGUAACGGAGGUGUACAAAGAUAAGUUGUUUAAAUGUGUAAUGGCAACAAACUUGUUUGACAGUAAGAUUGAUAAAUCACGCUGGGACGUAAGUCGGUCAUAGUGAUCCGGUAAAAGUAUGUGGAAAUAUUACCGCUCAACAAAUAAAAGGAACUCUAGGGAUAACAGAUUCAUCAUGGUUGAGAGUUCUCAUUGAUGCCAUGGUUUGAUACCUCGAUGUCGACUCAUCUUAUCCUGGACUUGAAGCAGAUUCCAAGGGUCUAGUUGUUCGCUAGUGAAGAAGGUACGUGAGUUGGGUUCAGAACGUCGUGAGACAGUUCGGUCCCUAUCUGCUGUGGGUGUUUGAAAAGAAUAGAAAUUAUUUUUAGUACGAGAGGACCAAAAUAUGUUAACCAAUAGUGAAUUGAUUGUUAAAACCAUUAGCAAGUCAAGUAGCCACGUUAAUAAUGUUUAUAUAUUGAAAGAAUCAAUAAAUAUUAAAACAUAUCUUUACUUUUCAUGAAUAAUCUAGAAGAUUACUAGAUAGAUCGGUUUAGUAUAAACAUUUAGUAAUAAAAUUUUUGUAUAUAAAUACGAACUUAUUCAUUAAAAAA
rnacentral:rRNA from 1 species